CUGGAGAGUGGCCUGCAGUGUGUCAAGUUGUGGUGUCAUUGUUGGUGGGAAUUGAUCCUUGUCACAGGUCCUGUUCUGGCAGCCAAGCCCAACAUCCUCUCAAAACGACAACAACAAGACCUGAGUCCUAGGACUACCUAGCUUGAUGACUCCUGGCUUUCCCCAGUCCACCUGGUCAUGCUGCUGCUCCAGUUUCAACUGUUCUACUUGCAGCUAUGGAACCCUGACCUGUUCACCGGACGUGCUACCUCGUCCCGGACUUGCUGUAUUCGACUCCCCCCCCCCCUCUCCCUUCCUCGCUCUCUCUGUACCGCACCUGCUGUCUCGACCUCUGAAUGCUUGGCUAUGGCCAACUGACUGACAUUUACA
ensembl:lncRNA